UUAUUCAAGUUUUAGGUGGG
rnacentral:siRNA from 1 species